rnacentral:rRNA from 1 species
AGAGUUUGAUCAUGGCUCAGGAUGAACGCUGGCGGUAUGCUUAACACAUGCAAGUCGAACGGGACCAUACGUGGUUUAGUGGCGGACGGGUGAGUAACGCGUGAGAAUCUGCCCUUGGGUUGGGGACAACCACUGGAAACGGUGGCUAAUACCGAAUAAGCCGAGAGGUGAAAGAGAAAUUGCCUGGGGAUGAGCUCGCGUCUGAUUAGCUAGUUGGUGGGGUAAAGGCCUACCAAGGCACCGAUCAGUAACUGGUCUGAGAGGAUGGCCAGUCACACUGGGACUGAGACACGGCCCAGACUCCUACGGGAGGCAGCAGUGGGGAAUUUUCCGCAAUGGGCGAAAGCCUGACGGAGCAAUACCGCGUGAGGGAGGAAGGCUCUUGGGUCGUAAACCUCUUUUCUCAGGGAAGAAGAGAUGACGGUACCUGAGGAAUAAGCAUCGGCUAACUCCGUGCCAGCCGCCGCGGUAAUAC